rnacentral:ribozyme from 13 species
CACAAUCCCUCAACCGAAUGAAGGAAAGAACGAAAAAGAGCAAAAAAAGAACGAAAACCAAAUGUUCAUUCAUUUACUUGCUUGUUGUUG